CAGCAGCCGCGGUAAUACGUAGGUGGCAAGCGUUAUCCGGAAUUAUUGGGCGUAAAGCGCGCGCAGGCGGUUUCUUAAGUCUGAUGUGAAAGCCCACGGCUCAACCGUGGAGGGUCAUUGGAAACUGGGGAACUUGAGUGCAGAAGAGAAAAGCGGAAUUCCACGUGUAGCGGUGAAAUGCGUAGAGAUGUAGAGGAACACCAGUGGCGAAGGCGGCUUUUUGGUCUGUAACUGACGCUGAGGCGCGAAAGCGUGGGGAGCAAACAGGAUUAGAUACCCCCGUAGUCCCUGUCUCUUAUAC
rnacentral:rRNA from 1 species